rnacentral:rRNA from 1 species
UACGUAGGUGGCGAGCGUUGUCCGGAAUUAUUGGGCGUAAAGAGCGCGUAGGCGGCCAUGCAGGUCCGAUGUGAAAUCCUGGGGCUCAACCCCAGAACUGCAUCGGAAACCGUGUGGCUAGAGUCUGGGAGAGGAGAGUGGAAUUCCUGGUGUAGCGGUGAAAUGCGCAGAUAUCAGGAGGAACACCGGUUGCGAAGGCGGCUCUCUGGAACAGUACUGACGCUGAGGCGCGAAAGCUAGGGGAG